rnacentral:tRNA from 1 species
GCCUGAGUGGCUCAGUUGGUUGAGUGACUGACUUCGGGUCAGGUCAUGAUCUCGCGGUUUGUGAGUUCGAGCCCCGCAUCGGGCU